UCAGCCAGAGGUACAAGCAAGAAACAGUGGUCCAUGAAUGAAUAUGCAAAUCAGGUGCCUGCGUAUUAAAAAUCUGGAGAAACAAGAAAUUCCACUUUUUUAUCUGUGCUGAUUCUGGCUUGUUGGAUACAUCAACUACAUUUCUUAAAACGCUAACAUCACCUGGGUGGCAACAGAUUUUGUUCAAGUGGCAGCUACCCAAAACAGUUUUUGAAGAGUCCAGUAUGCAACCGGAGGACUGCAGCCAUACCAGGCCAAUUUAUGUAGCACUUACAAAAGAAAAAGUAUCUUAAUACUCUAUCCAUGCUAUUGCUAUUCAAGCAACAGCAAUACAAAAUAUUACAAGACAGAUCACAUAUGAUUGCAGUGUAGACCCCAAAGACUUUGUUUUGGGGAUGCUGUUAUACAAGACUUCAAAAAAAAAAAAAACACACACAAAAGGGCAAAAGUCAUUGGCGGAUGUAAACAUCCCUGUUCCACUCCCCAGCCUCAUUCCGUUUUUUUGAUAUCACUUCUCCAUCCUUUUCACAGUAGCGAUCCUUGGAUUUAUGACGGCUGCGCUGCUUGUUGCACUCGUUGUGGUCCUGCUCUCGAUCCACGUCCCGGGAACGGUGCCGGGACUCCCUGUGUCUGUGGUCACUGCUCCCGUGGGUCUCGUCUCUGUGGUUGUGGUCACGGUGUGAGGCAUAGUGGUCCACGUGGUCAUGGGAAUAAUCUUCCUUUGGCUCUACGUAGGCAGAGUCUCGACUCUCCUGGGUUUCCGAGUCAAAUGUCUCUUGCCUGGAGAGGCCGCGACUUGUCCCACUGCGAUGGUUGUGGUGUGGGGCUGAGGAGGAAGAGCGGUGCUGGGAUUUCUUGACUGGUUCCACACUAGGUUCUUCUUCAGCUUGGGAAGCAGAACGGAUAGGAGCGGAGCGAUCAGUCCUCUGAUCACCUUGAGAACCCUGGCAGCGAAAGGAGCACACCAGGCGUUAACUAAGGUGUUUGACUGUUUUUUUCAAAA
rnacentral:lncRNA from 1 species